UAAUUCCAGGUUGACGAUAAGGGUGUAACUAUGAAAGAUAAACUUUUUAAAAAUUAUGGAUAUAUAAUUUCCGAUGAGAGCAAAUUAAAUCAAGCAAAAGAGAUCUUUAUUAAGUGUGAGGAACAAGAAAAACAAGGACCAGGAACUAACGAGGAGAAGCUUUUAAAAUUAUAACAUGCGCAAUGCCGACAAAAGACUUAAUCGACAAAUAAAAGAAAGAUCAUUUUUUCUUUCACAUAAUAUUCAUAUAAAAUAAUAACGAUGAAGAGAUAAAGUAUAUAUAGUAAUGAGAUAAGAAUACUUUUGAUCCUUUCUUUAUACUAACGGGUUAUUGGGAAUUUUACACAAAAAUUUUUUUGUCACUUGAAUUAACGUGUACCUACUUUAUAUUAUAUUUAAUAAAAUUAUAAAUUUAAAAAAUUAUAUAAUAAUUUUUUUGAAACAAAGUUUCGAAAAAGUAUAAUACUGUUCUAAAUUAUUACUGCAUUGCUUGUAAUCACUCAAGAAUAAAUUCAAUAUUUUUAACAAUAA